UGUGUUCACUACUGUAAGUCUCUCUGGAUAAGAGUGUCUGCUAAAUGACUAAAA
rfam:Salmo salar isolate Sally breed double haploid chromosome ssa09, whole genome shotgun sequence.